UACGUAGGGUCCGAGCGUUGUCCGGAAUUAUUGGGCGUAAAGAGCUCGUAGGCGGUUUGUCGCGUCUGCUGUGAAAUCCCGAGGCUCAACCUCGGGCCUGCAGUGGGUACGGGCAGACUGGAGUGCGGUAGGGGAGAAUGGAAUUCCUGGUGUAGCGGUGGAAUGCGCAGAUAUCAGGAGGAACACCGGUGGCGAAGGCGCCACUCUGGGCCGAAACUGACGCUGAGGAGCGAAAGCGUGGGGAGCGAACAGG
rnacentral:rRNA from 1 species